UGGGGAAUAUUGGACAAUGGGCGAAAGCCUGAUCCAGCCAUGCCGCGUGUGUGAAGAAGGCCUUUUGGUUGUAAAGCACUUUAAGCGAGGAGGAGGCUACUUAGAUUAAUACUCUAGGAUAAUGGACGUUACUCGCAGAAUAAGCACCGGCUAACUCUGUGCCAGCAGCCGCGGUAAUACAGAGGGUGCGAGCGUUAAUCGGAUUUACUGGGCGUAAAGCGUGCGUAGGCGGCUUCUUAAGUCGGAUGUGAAAUCCCUGAGCUUAACUUAGGAAUUGCAUUCGAUACUGGGAAGCUAGAGUAUGGGAGAGGAUGGUAGAAUUCCAGGUGUAGCGGUGAAAUGCGUAGAGAUCUGGAGGAAUACCGAUGGCGAAGGCAGCCAUCUGGCCUAAUACUGACGCUGAGGUACGAAAGCAUGGGGAGCAAACAGG
rnacentral:rRNA from 1 species